GAGUUUGAUCCUGGCUCAGAGCGAACGCUGGCGGCAGGCCUAACACAUGCAAGUCGAGCGGCCGUAGCAAUACGGCAGCGGCAGACGGGAGAGUAACACGUGGGAACGUGCCCUUCGGUUCGGAAUAACUCGGGGAAACCCGUGCUAAUACCGAAUACGCCCUUACGGGGAAAGAUUUAUCGCCGAUGGAGCGGCCCGCGUCUGAUUAGCUAGUUGGUGAGGUAAUGGCUCACCAAGGCGACGAUCAGUAGCUGGUCUGAGAGGAUGAUCAGCCUCACUGGGACUGAGACACGGCCCAGACUCCUACGGGAGGCAGCAGUGGGGAAUAUUGGACAAUGGGCGCAAGCCUGAUCCAGCCAUGCCGCGUGGAUGAUGAAGGCCUUAGGGUUGUAAAGUCCUUUUAGCGGGGAAGAUAAUGACGGUACCCGCAGAAAAAGCCCCGGCUAACUUCGUGCCAGCAGCCGCGGUAAU
rnacentral:rRNA from 1 species